rnacentral:misc_RNA from 1 species
GAUGAAGAACGUAGCGAAAUGCGAUAAGUAGUGUGAAUUGCAGAAUUCAGUGAAUCAUCGAAUCUUUGAACGCACAUUGCGCCCCUUGGUAUUCCAUGGGGCAUGCCUGUUCGAGCGUCAUUUGUACCUUCAAGCUCUGCUUGGUGUUGGGUGUUUGUCUCGCCUCUGCGCGCAGACUCGCCUCAAAACAAUUGGCAGCCGGCGUAUUGAUUUCGGAGCGCAGUACAUCUCGCGCUUUGCACUCAUAACGACGACGUCCAAAAGUACAUUUUUACACUCUUGACCUCGGAUCAGGUAGGGAUACCCGCUGAACUUAAGCAUAUCAAUAAGCGGAGGA